CCCUUUCCCCACCCCUCCAUUUCUCGCCAUGGCCCCUGCACUGCUCCUGGUCCCUGCUGCCCUCGCCUCUUUCAUCCUGGCCUUUGGCACCGGAGUGGAGUUCGUGCGCUUUACCUCCCUUCGGCCACUUCUUGGAGGGAUCCCGGAGUCUGGUGGUCCGGAUGCCCGCCAGGGAUGGCUGGCUGCCCUGCAGGACCGCAGCAUCCUUGCCCCCCUGGCAUGGGAUCUGGGGCUCCUGCUUCUAUUUGUUGGGCAGCACAGCCUCAUGGCAGCUGAAAGAGUGAAGGCAUGGACAUCCCGGUACUUUGGGGUCCUUCAGAGGUCACUGUAUGUGGCCUGCACUGCCCUGGCCUUGCAGGUAUGAGGCCCUGGCCUUGCAGCUGGUGAUGCGGUACUGGGAGCCCAUACCCAAAGGCCCUGUGUUGUGGGAGGCUCGGGCUGAGCCAUGGGCCACCUGGGUGCCCCUCCUCUGCUUUGUGCUCCAUGUCAUCUCCUGGCUCCUCAUCUUUAGCAUCCUUCUCGUCUUUGACUAUGCUGAGCUCAUGGGCCUCAAACAGGUAUACUACCAUGUGCUGGGGCUGGGCGAGCCUCUGGCCCUGAAGUCUCCCCGGGCUCUCAGACUCUUCUCCCACCUGCGCCACCCAGUGUGUGUGGAGCUGCUGACAGUGCUGUGGGUGGUGCCUACCCUGGGCACGGACCGUCUCCUCCUUGCUUUCCUCCUUACCCUCUACCUGGGCCUGGCUCACGGGCUUGAUCAGCAAGACCUCCGCUACCUCCGGGCCCAGCUACAAAGAAAACUCCACCUGCUCUCUCGGCCCCAGGAUGGGGAGGCAGAGUGAGGAGCUCACUCUGGUUACAAGCCCUGUUCUUCCUCUCCCCCUGAAUUCUAAAUCCUUAACAUCCAAGCCCUGGCUGCUUCAUGCCAGAGGCCCAAAUCCAUGGACUGAAGGAGCUGCCCCUUCUACUACUUGAGACUUUAUUCUCUGGGUCCAGCUCCAUACCCUAAAUUCUGAGUUUCAGCCACUGAACUCCAAGGUCCACUUCUCACCAGCAAGGAAGAGUGGGGUAUGGAAGUCAUCUGUCCCUUCACUGUUUAGAGCAUGACACUCUCCCCCUCAACAGCCUCCUGAGAAGGAAAGGAUCUGCCCUGACCACUCCCCUGGCACUGUUACUUGCCUCUGCGCCUCAGGGGUCCCCUUCUGCACCGCUGGCUUCCACUCCAAGAAGGUGGACCAGGGUCUGCAAGUUCAACGGUCAUAGCUGUCCCUCCAGGCCCCAACCUUGCCUCACCACUCCCGGCCCUAGUCUCUGCACCUCCUUAGGCCCUGCCUCUGGGCUCAGACCCCAACCUAGUCAAGGGGAUUCUCCUGCUCUUAACUCGAUGACUUGGGGCUCCCUGCUCUCCCGAGGAAGAUGCUCUGCAGGAAAAUAAAAGUCAGCCUUUUUCUACAUA
rnacentral:sRNA from 1 species